GUGUACCUGGUGCCCAUGGAGGUGAAAAGACAGCAUUGGAUUCCCUGGAACUAGUUACAGACUAUUGUGAGCUGCCAUGUGGUUGUCAGGAACUGAAACCAGGUCCUCUGCACAAACAGCCACUGCUCUUAACUGCUGAGCCAUAGCUCCAACCUCUGUACUGUUUCAAUCAAGAUUAGCUAGGCAGAGUCCCCAUCCUGAUGUCCCCAGUGAGGACGCUUCUCCACUGACUUGCUGGGAGUUACCUCCCUCACCAGGCCUGUCUCCCCAUCUGCAGAGGGAGGCAGCUGAACUAGAUUGUCCCGAGUUCCUUUUCAGUGCUAGCAUCACAUCUUCAGGUGCCCCAAGGUGUGUGACAGUGCUGAUGGGGAAUGGAGACCCCAGACUUCGUCAACUCCACAUUUUGGAGCAUGGAGUGGAUCAAGAUGGCUGUAGCCCAAGAAGGUGAACUUGCCACAAACUGGCUGAGAUGAUUCUGCUGCUUGUGGUGAAAUGUCUUGGCAGACCAUUCAGGAUUGGAUGCCUACAGACUGGUGGAUGCCAACUAGAUGGGUCCAUCCACAUUGGCAAAACAUGCACAGAAGUCAAGAUCAGGUGAGCUAUGGCUUAGCUGCCUGAGCAUGGGACUCAUGCCAUGUCUUAUGGGACUUGGUUGUGUGUCUUCUUUGUAGUGGAGCAGCCCAAGUUCUACCUCAGCUACUUGCCAGUUACUACCAGGUCUCAUAGGUGUUAGGAUUGGGUGAGGAGUGAGGGACGCUAGGAAGCCACGGGUCCCUGGUCUCCUUUAAGCAUCUGGUCUCUCCAGAGGCAGGAGAUUGUAUGAGAGACAGCUCUCAACUUGACCAGUAGGCUUGUAGAAGAAUGGAUUAGAACCUCAUGCUAGACAGAAGCCAGAAGUACUUAGAAUGGUUGGCCGUUAAGAGGUCAGGCUGGGGCUGGAGGGGUGGUCCCAUGGUUAAGAGCUCAUACUACUCUUGCAGAGUACCCAAGUUUCGUUCCUAGUACCCAUGCCACCCUGGGUCUUCUGACCUCUUCAGGCUCCUGCACUGCACACAUACACAUAGACUCCGGCAUGCACUUGCAUAUGUGUGCACACACACUUAGAAAGAAAGUCAGGCAUGGAGUAGCCCUGGUGUCUUGAGUGCAGCCCUGAUGGGUGGCAAGGUUCUGGAUUGGGGAACACAGUAUUAUAAGACAGAGACAUAAAAGUGGCUCACAUGUGACCAGGGUACUGGGGACACAGACAGGUGUGGGCCCGGCAGACACCUGAAUCCUAGGUUGAGGGCUGAAUAAAAAAGCACAACGGGCCUGGAGUCAUUGCCACUCUGUAAUGUGAAGUCAAAGAAAAUGGCUGCUAGGGAACAGGUGGAGAAGAAGCACAGGGCCUAGGUCAAGACCAGGAGUUAGAAACAUUCAAGGAGCUGUUGGAGGUGGCAGAAAGGGAAAGACCUGAGAGAUGCAACAAACAACUAGGAAAGGGGGUUGCCAUGGCAACCAAGGUAGUGAAGAGUUUCAAGGAGAAAGUAAUCAACAUUGUCGAAUGUGGCAUCGAAUUCCAAUCAGAUGAAGACAGGAAUUUCCUUUUUGGCCUUUAGGGUUAGCUGGUUUGGAGUGGCCUUAAGAGCUUUUGGAAGCCGGGCAGAGGUGGCGCACACCUUUAAUCCCAGUAUUCGGGAGACAGGCAGGUGGAUCUCUGUAAAUUUGAGGCCAGCCUGGUCUACAAAGCUAUUCAGAGAAACCCUGUCUCAAAACAUCAAAAAAAAAAAAAAAAAAAAAAAAAAAAAAAAAGCUUUCGGGGAAGUUGUAGGAACAUAAAGAGGAGUGAUGCUGACAUCAAGGGGAGCAUGAGACUCGAUAAGUCCUUUAAAGCGUCAAGAAGGAGAACUUGGAGAUGUGGAAAAUCGGGGUGUGGAGAGUGAGGCUAUGAAGGAUGAACACAUUGUUCAUUAACUAGU
ensembl:lncRNA